CGGGGAUCCAGCAGGGUGCCCACCCAGUAAUCAGCACAAGUUAGAAUGUGAGCAACUCGACAGUCGUUGCACAGGCACUUUGGUGACUCUAGAUAACCUCGGGCCGAUCGCAAAUCCCCGUGAUGGCUACAAAGCAUUCUGAUGUCUGCCCUAUCAUCUUUCAAUGAUACUUUCUGUGCCUACCAUGCUGACCACAGGUAACGGGGAAUCAGGGUUCGAUUCCGGAGAGGGAGCCUGAGAAACGGCUACCACAUCCAACGAAGGCAGCAGGCAUGCAAAUUCCCCACUCCCACCGCGGGGAGGUAGUGACG